AUUGAACGCUGGCGGCAGGCUUAACACAUGCAAGUCGAGCGAGCGGCGGACGGGUGAGUAAUGUCUGGGAAAGUGCCUGAUGGAGGGGGAUAACUACUGGAAACGGUGGCUAAUACCGCAUACCAUCAGAUGUGCCCAGAUGGGAUUAGCUAGUUGGUGGGGUAAUGGCUCACCAAGGCGACGAUCCCUAGCUGGUCUGAGAGGAUGACCAGCCAAACUGGGACUGAGACACGGUCCAGACUCCUACGGGAGGCAGCAGUGGGGAAUAUUGGACAAUGGGCGCAAGCCUGAUGCAGCCAUGCCGCGUGUGUGAAGAAGGCCUUCGGGUUGUAAAGCACUUUUAGCGAGGAGGCGUUACUCGCAGAAGAAGCACCGGCUAACUACGUGCCAGCAGCCGCGGUAAUAC
rnacentral:rRNA from 1 species